AUGUAUGAACGUUUCAGAGAAAAAAAAACGAACUUAACUAUAAGAACAUUUCAAUAUUGAAGGAAGCUGUUAUACAACAUUGGUGAACAGUAGUUGUCCACCUAUUUGCAUGAUGAGUGAAAUACUUUGAUUUGUACUUUAUGUAUAAAGCUCACAAUCAAACUUAAUAAAGAGAUGUUUUUGAAAAAAAAACUGUGAAACUGUCAUUUUCUGCAUUAUGCAGUAGAUAAUCUUCAUUAAAAAUGUAGUGUUUUAAGGAAGUGACAAAAUGGAGAAUCAAUUUGCUAUGAAUUAUGUUCUGUUUCCUUGUUUGUAAACGUGGGUAGAAUGAUACUUAAAAGUUUAUUUUUGUUUUUAAAGUUUGGAUACCCUUGAACUUGAACCCUUUGUAAGAUGCUAAGAGACUUGAUAGUUGUUUCUUUGAGUCGAAAUACCAAUACCUUUAGUUCCUUUAGUCGUCCUUCCUUAAAAUAUUCCUAUAGCUUGGAGACCUAGAGGUUGACCAGGACGGGAAAAAGUGGUGGCAAUUCGGACCUGAGUAAUCCCAACAACUGUGUUGGGAAAGGAUUGACAGUUUGAAAUGACCAAGAGUGGCCAGGAGAGUAGGAAUCGGGACACAAUCCAUUUAUUUAUUUAUUUAUUUAUUUCAACUUUUGAAGGAAUUUCAUGGAAGUUAUGCCCCAUAAAUUUGUUUCAGAUUAUGAUUGCAAGC
ensembl:sense_intronic C030032O16Rik RIKEN cDNA C030032O16 gene